rnacentral:rRNA from 1 species
CCUACGGGUGGCUGCAGUGGGGAAUAUUGGGCAAUGGGCGAAAGCCUGACCCAGCAACGCCGCGUGAAGGAAGAAGGCUUUCGGGUUGUAAACUUCUUUUGACAGGGAAGAGCAGAAGACGGUACCUGUCGAAUAAGCCACGGCUAACUACGUGCCAGCAGCCGCGGUAAUACGUAGGUGGCAAGCGUUGUCCGGAUUUACUGGGUGUAAAGGGAGCGUAGACGGUUAUGCAAGUCUGAAGUGAAAGCCCAAGGCUCAACCAUGGGACUGCUUUGGAAACUGUAAAACUGGAGUGCAGGAGAGGUAAGCGGAAUUCCUAGUGUAGCGGUGAAAUGCGUAGAUAUUAGGAGGAACACCAGUGGCGAAGGCGGCUUACUGGACUGUAACUGACGUUGAGGCUCGAAGGCGUGGGGAGCAAACAGGAUUAGAUACCCCUGUAGUC